AGAGUUUGAUCCUGGCUCAGGAUAAACGCUGGCGGCGUGCCUAAAACAUGCAAGUCGAACGGUUGCUCGCCUUCGGGCGGGUGAUAGUGGCGGACGGCUGAGUAACACGUGGGUGACCUGCCCCGGAGCGGGGGAUAACUGCCCGAAAGGGUGGCUAAUACCGCAUGUGGUGAUGCGUUCAAUCGCAUCAGUAAAGCCGCAAGGCGCUUCGGGAGGGGCCUGCGUCCGAUUAGCUCGUUGGUGGGGUAACGGCUCACCAAGGCGACGAUCGGUAGGUGGUCUGAGAGGACGAUCACCCAGACUGGGACUGAGACACGGCCCAGACUCCUACGGGAGGCAGCAGUCGGGAAUUUUGCGCAAUGGACGAAAGUCUGACGCAGCAACGCCGCGUGAGGGAUGAAGGCCUUCGGGUUGUAAACCUCUUUUGUCAGGGACGAUGAUGACGGUACCUGACGAAUAAGCCACGGCUAACUACGUGCCAGCAGCCGCGGUAAUACGUAGGUGGCAAGCGUUGUCCGGAUUUACUGGGCGUAAAGAGCGCGCAGGCGGUCGUUCAAGUCGCGUGUGAAAGCCCCCGGCUCAACUGGGGAGGGUCACGCGAUACUGAUCGACUCGAAGGCAGGAGAGGGUAGUGGAAUUCCCGGUGUAGUGGUGAAAUGCGUAGAUAUCGGGAGGAACACCAGUGGCGAAGGCGGCUUGCUGGCUCUGUUCUGACACUCAGACGCGAAAGCAUGGGUAGCGAACGGGAUUAGAAACCCCGGUAGUCCAUGCCGUAAACGAUGCACACUAGACGUUGGGGAUGCACCGCAUCCUGAGUGUCGUAGCAAACGCGCUAAGUGUGCCGCCUGGGGAGUACGGCCGCAAGGCUAAAACUCAAAGGAAUUGACGGGGGCCCGCACAAGCAGCGGAGCGUGUGGUUUAAUUCGAGGCUACGCGAAGAACCUUACCAGGGUUUGACAUGCUGGUGGUAGUGAAGUGAAAACGGAACGACCCUUCGGGGAGCCAGCACAGGUGCUGCAUGGCUGUCGUCAGCUCGUGCCGUGAGGUGUUAGGUUAAGU
rnacentral:rRNA from 1 species